rnacentral:ribozyme from 1 species
AGAAAAGAAAGCAGUCCAAAUGGAAAAAUAUAAAUUGGAUCCUGGCAUUGUUUCCUCUCCACUCGUUGUACUGGCACAUGAUGUUCCUACAAUUGUUGCUGCAAUUCCCCCAUCCUGUGUCAACGUGCCCAAGCUACAAAUGAAAAUAAUGGCAUGUAUCCAAGCCGAAGAAGAAAUGCGAAAAAGCAGCAAGGAUUUUAGCUCUCUUCCAGAUAUUCCUCAACAAUUCGAUGAACCUAUAUUGACUAGGAAAAAAGAGA